GUGCUUGCUUCAGCAGCACAUAUACUAAAAUUGGAGCGAUACAGAGAUUAACACAGCCCUGCGCAAGGAUGACACGCAAGUUCGUGAAGCAUUCCAUUACUUU
ensembl:snRNA U6 U6 spliceosomal RNA